UCAAGUUGUAACACGUGACGUGGAACCCGGUAGUCGGAUAACUCAUGAACGUGAGGAAACUCCGCAGUGGGAUAGGGAACUUAUUCUACCUAAAGCACCAUUCCCAAACAAAAUGCAUGCAUUUUCACGCCACCGUCGAAUGGACCGAUCAGCCAGGAGCGCAUUUUUGGAAAGAGCUGAAGUAGCCAUGAGCAAACGAGCCCAGGAAAUAACAUUACUUCGUCAAG